rnacentral:lncRNA from 7 species
GAGGUCCUCUGCCGCGUGUUUGGAAGUUAUGGCCGCGCGGGUCUGUGGUGUUCUCCCUGAAAGGCCUAAGCUUUGGGUGAUGGUAAGUUGUGGAAAAGGGAAGAUGAGGUUUUUCCUACACAUACCGUCGACACGCUUGCUCUCUCCGGAGGUGACGUGUCGACGAUCAGCCCUUUCCUUUGCUAUUGUGGGCCUUAGGAGGUCUGAGAUGCUGUCUAAGGAAAUGCUCCCCAGACUGCGAGACGUUUGAUGCGGACGGGAUGAAGCCCUUUUUGGUCUUCGAUCUCCCUUCUCUUGGGGCGGGGAGCGGUCUUCUCUCUGUGACCCAAAGCCAGCCAUGUGCUCAGCUCUGUCUUCCCUGGGGUCUCCAUUGAGGGUGGUGGCCUUAAGUGAACACGAGUGACUCCUGCUAACUACAGAUUGUCAUGAACGGGAUUGAAAACUGAAAGCCGUUAGCUCUAACGCGGCAUAACUUCUCCUUCCCCGAAGGCAUUGCCUUUUGGCACUCGGGAGACAAGAUGCAGGUUCCGUCUCAGAAGUAAUGGCUGGAUCCCUGAAAGCCAACGGGCUCGGUGUGGUCCACCCGUCAGAAGGCAUAGGUAGAUGGUGGGCAUCUGCCUCAGACAUAGUUCUCAAGUUCAGCCAGAAGAAUGCGCGUUGAGCCCUCUGCAGCCCGUGUCGACGGAGGUGUUGUCUCCAGGAAGCAUCAUGGAAAGGCGUGGUGGUGCACAAGGGCCUUCAGGAUGCCUGCGCCUGGUGACGGCUGCGCCUCAGGUUCUGGGCCUGACUCGGAAGGGUGCCUGUGAGCAGAAGAGCUGGCACGCGCAGCUCAGUGGACCAUCAGUGCCAACCCGUCCUGUACCCUGGCUGAGGGGUGUGCUAAGUGGCAGAUUCCCGGUUGGCUCAUCGUAAGGCGUGGCACAAAAUCACCAUCGAAAGAAAGGGCCUUCGGGAUGCCUCUAUCUGGUUAUUGCCCUGUAGUGCCAGAGAGAACCACAUAGCCUGCUGCUGCUCCUGCCUUUAAUUUCCCAAAGAGUCAUCAGACGACCUUGGAGUUUGUUCUGCAAGAGGAGCCAGUAAGGCCUCGUGACUGUGGUCACCCUCGGAAGCCUUUGACAGCUAGCUGGUGAGGGCGCUCAGUCGGAGGCCCUGGGGAGGCCCCUGCUAAGCCGAGAAAAGCAUUUCUCACAGUGGAUUUCCUGGAAGUCAGGGUUGGCCUUUGUAUUUUGAAGCACAAAUAAACUUUAUAAAAUUUAA